rnacentral:tmRNA from 1 species
GGGGGCGAACUGGAUUCGACGGAGAUAGUGAGGCAAAGGUUGCAUGUCGAGGCCCCACCCACCUCGUUAAAAAGGUGGACUGAAUUAAGUGCAGAACAACUGCCAGUUGCUGCCUAACUUGUAGGCAAGCCGUUUCUCUUGCAUUCUCCUGCGGUGCUUGAGAGGCGUCGAUGAGCAGGAUAGCAAACCAGGCCCGUCCUGAGCCUGCGGAGCGAAACAACAUCAGGGCUGGUCCGGUGGUUUUUUUCUUCUUCUUAAGCCACAGGAUGAGACAUAAGAAGAAGAUAAGCAUGUAGAGGCCUUUCGUUGAAUGUCUUCGGACGCGGGUUCGAUUCCCGCCGCCUCCAAAA